UUGUGAUUAAUCACUAUGCUUUAAUUAUGUUCAAUUUGUAACAAUGAAAUUGGGGGUCACCACAACAUGAGGAACUGUAUUAAAGGGUCGCGGCAUUAGGAAGGUUGAGAACCACUGAUCUAGCACAUUUCAUCUGGGAUGUAGACCCAGCCUUCUUUCUCACCACCAGCUCUGAAACAUCAUUACCGUGGUCUGAGUUCUGUAGCUUAGUGUUAAAGUGAAACAUCAGCAGAUUUCUAAUACAUUUUUUUAGAGAAAGAUGAUUUUAUCUCCUGGUUGGAAUGAGUAUCUUUCAGAACCAAGUAUUACUCAUCCAGAAAGAACAAUUAGAGCUUAUUUGUAUGGUCACGUUGUUUAAAAUUGACCAUUUUUCUCUCAUGAAGUGCUUUUAAGUGCAUUCAUUACUUUCCCCAUUUUACAGAUGAGGACACUGAACCUUAGAGAGGCCACUCAGCUGCCAAGUGACAGCCCAGAUUUACUAUGAUCCGACUUCUUUUCAAACCUUGUGAAUAGAAAAAGGAUUGCUUAUGAGUUGGCAUGAAAAAAGUCACCCCUCCCUGACCUGCCAAAAGACCAUUGGUUUGUCCGACUCAUCUCUCCCUGUGACUUGGAAUUUUCUCAUGUGCACACUGGAGGUGAUGUUCUCUCUUCCCAAUAGUUCCAAAAAGGAGGGACUUCAAUUAUGAAAGGGUUCUUGACUGUUCUAGUGCAGUGCAUCAAAUCUGCUGUUGCAAGGUGAAUUGCAUAAGGAAAGAAAAAAAUUAGAAAAACACUGAAUUACAGGACACAAGGAGAAAACAGCCAUCUGCAACUCAGAAGAAGACCCUCACCAGAACCCCACCAUGCUGGCACCCUGAGCUCAGACUUCCAGCCUCCAGAACGCUGAGAAGUUCCUGUUGCUGCUGAAAAUGCAUACCUUCUUGACAACCGGGAAGGCAGCCUCUGAACCUAGCAUUCUUGGAUUCCCUGGAGCAUAGAGGAGCCGGCUCCCAGCUGGAGCCUGUCCACUGCCCUUCCCACCAGCCCGCACCGGAGGAGACCUACGUGCACGUGUGAGGACACCCAACCUGCAUGCCAAGCUCCAAACAUACUCCAAACCCUUAUUAUUAUUAUUUUUUUUUAGAAAGACCUAAAGAAGAGGCCUGCACAGGCCCUCUAGGUGAACAUGAAACAUUCCAAGGUCCAGCGUACCCAGAAUUUCGUGGUGAGCAAAAUGCUGACAGCCAGUGCGGGAGUCUCUCACAGGACCUUAAAGGGUCCCAGAAGCUUAAUCUUCAUUGAAUUCAAGGGACAAAGUUCUUCAGGCUCUGUGGAUCACUGCCUAGAGCACAAAGGACUGUCUCGCUUAGAAAGUACUUUAUUCACCACUACUUCCACAAGGACCAUCUAGGUUUCUGAAAUUCAAACAGCUGAUUUGAAUAUACUUUGUUGCGGAAGUGGGGCCUCUCUGACCACCAGGGCAUUGAUUGGUAAG